rnacentral:lncRNA from 1 species
AAAGUUCUGAGAGUCUGUGGCUCAGCCAUCGUGACUAUGUAACCAGUAUUGGUCGGUGGCCCAAGGUCUCUCUCCUUUCAGGGUUCAACCUCCAACCUUAUUUCUGCUUCCUUCAUGUUGGAAUUCACACUGUGAGAAUUGUUGUCAUCCUUUCUCUACGACUCCAAGAGAAACUUUAUACUGGAGGAAGAAUAUUCUACCACUUUGGGAUGCUUCCAAAGAAAUGGGAUACCAAAGGAGUGAACUUCAGGUCAUUGGAAGUGGCCAAGCUGGAGGGCGACCUAUGGAGACAUGACCUUCAGUUCUUCCUGAGAUCGAUAAAGCUUAAAAGAAAAGAAAAAGCCAACUCAGCUUGUGCGUGGAUCCUGGACCUUGCUCUAAUACAGACCCCGCUCCUGGAGUGUAAGCCAUGCUUGACGGCUCAGCUUUCUUGUCACUAAUGAGGUGGGAUGUGGUUGUGCAUUCAAAAUCUAGCAAGGACGAAGUGAGUGCACCACUGAUUAAACAUGGAGAGAAAUUUCUUUCCAAAGGGCUGUGUAAGAGGAGAAGCAGGAGAUGUAUGUAAGAUUUCUCAUUUGUGCAAUGCAUCCUCUGAACCACUGUGAUGCCACGGGCUGCUGAACUUUCCACAGGGGCCAUUAGGGACGAAAUCACACCGAUGGAAUGAAAGGGAAAAUAACCAAAGACAACAGCAACAGCUCAAAACACCAGAAAAAGCAGCAACACUAUAUCUAUCCGUCACUGGCCCAACUCGACAUCUGGAAAAGAACCCAGAGUAGCUGCCAACCAGAUGGCCCCUUGGUGUAAGUGGGAGGAGGUACCUGUCCAGGCACAUGCAGCCCUACACAGGCUGAAUUUCAGGCCUCCUCGUGCAGGGAACCCUCUUCCCAGCUGUACAUGGUCCCCUGAGCAUUCGCAUGUAAUUCUCUCAUCUUUCCAGCCAUUCUUUUUCUCUUUCCUUUUUUUAAGGCCUGGCAGCUACCUUUUU